rnacentral:rRNA from 1 species
AUUGAACGCUGGCGGAAUGCUUUACACAUGCAAGUCGAACGGCAGCACGGACUUCGGUCUGGUGGCGAGUGGCGAACGGGUGAGUAAUGUAUCGGAACGUGCCCAGUCGUGGGGGAUAACGUAGUGAAAAUUACGCUAAUACAGCAUACGAUCUAUGGAUGAAAGCGGGGGAUCGCAAGACCUCGCGCGAUUGGAGCGGCCGAUAUCAGAUUAGGUAGUUGGUGGGGGAAAGGCCCACCAAGCCAACGAUCUGUAGCUGGUCUGGGAGGACGGCCAGCCACGCGUGAACUGAGACCCGGUGCAGACUCCUACGGGAGGCAGCAGUGGGGAAUUUUGGACAAUGGGCGAAAGCCCGGUCCAGCCAUUCCGCGUGCAGGAUGAAGGCCCUCGGGUUGUAAACUGCUUUUGUACAGAACGAAAAGGUUUCUACUAGUACUAGGAGCUCAUGACGGUACUGUAAGAAUAAGCACCGGCUAACUACGUGCCAGCCGCCGCGGUAA